rnacentral:rRNA from 1 species
UACGAACCGUCCAAACGUUAUUCGGAAUUAUUGGGCUUAAAGGGUAUGUAGGCGGCGCUGUUAGUCGGGGUGUGAAAUCCCUCGGCUCAACCGAGGAAUUGCGCCCGAUACUGCGGUGCUUGAGGGAGACAGAGGUAAGCGGAACUGAUGGUGGAGCGGUGAAAUGCGUUGAUAUCAUCAGGAACACCGGUGGCGAAAGCGGCUUACUGGGUCUCUUCUGACGCUGAGAUACGAAAGCUAGGGGAGCGAAGGGG